UGCAUUCAUUUAUUUUAAUUAAGUUUAUAUAUACUGGGUGUCACAGCCCCAACCGGAGCAAUAGUAUAUAGACAAGAGACAUGCCAAAACUAUCAAAACACUUUUGACUCAUUACAAAUUUAUUUAUAUUUUCAUGAUGUCACACUCUAAACGUAUAGCCCCGUCGAAAACUUAUGACGUUUGAUACUUACCUACUACUAGAUUGUGCUUUCAAAUGAAGGCACAUCUUUUAUUUACAAUAAGUUCAAUCAACAACAGCCUAAAUGUAUGUAAAUUAAAAAAAUGCAUUAAAUAGGACAGGCAUGCUUAAACUGUGUUUUGAAGAAUAUGUACAUUUUUUUCAGAUACUUUAAUUUCCGAUUUGUCACAGUCUUAGCGCAUAAUCCUGUAAGAAAAUAUUUUUUAAGAUUAAGUAUAUUUACUUAGGCUAUAAACCUAAAAUCUAAACAUUUAUGUUAAAAAAUUGUUGUUGGGAAGUAGGAUGGACAAUUGAUUUGGACUGUGACUUUAAAUACAGAGUUUUUAAGCCGAGUUUACAUUGGUAUAGUAAACGGGUUAGUUACUUGUACCAGUAGCCAGUGGCGGCUCGUGGGUCAAUCUUCAGGGGGGUCAUUUUGGUUUGAAAACUUAUAGUUUACUCUAAUAAAAAAAAAACAAAUCAAACUAUUGAUUUUUUAAAGUAUUUGAAAGAUCUUUUAGCAUUUAUAUUUUAGAUAAAAAAUACAGACUUAGAUAAAACUCAAUAAUAUUUACCGAGAUAUUUACCCUAUUAAGCGGGUAAAAAUAACUUUAAAUGCUUAAAUCGUUUUCCGAAAAUUAACUUUGCCUUUUUAUUAGAGUAAAUAUUUUAAAUAAAAAUAUAAGAAAAAGGGUAUAAACAGGUUAUCGAAACCACUCUACCCAGAACCAUCGUACGUUUUGGAGAUCGGCCGAAAAAGGACGAAAAUGCGUAUAAAUUUACAAAAAAUAUUUUUAUUGGUUUAUGUUGACUCGCCGCUUUUUGCAGGAUAAGAUUAAGUUGAUGGGCAUAGCAGUGAAUAAAGUGUGCAUUUGGGAAUAUUUCUUUAAUUUUUGUUUGUACUCCUCCCAGUUUACCGCUCAUGACUGAUGCACCAUCGUAACUUUGGGCAAUUUAUUUUUCAGGUGCUUGAUUAAUUUUUGAUAAUUGAAGUUCUUCCAAUAUUACAUUAGUUAAAUGUUGUGCUGUGGCACCUGGAGGGUUAACAAAUUUCCAAAAUCCUUCAUGUACAAUAUCAGUUAAUACAUAUCGCAAUAUGACAAUCAUCUGCGUUUUAUUGAAGCUGUUUGUGGUCUCAUCUACUUGAAUUGCCACAAAAUUUGUCUGGCCAAUCUCUUUAAUUAUAUGAGUAUGUACAAUGGCUAACAUUGAUUCUAAAAUAUCGUUCUGAAUUGUUUUUGAUGUGCCUUUAAAUCCUGUACUUUUUUCAAUAUGUUCUUUAAACAUUAAAUUCAGUUCAGAAACAAAAUCGAUAAGGCCCAGAAAAAUUCCAGGAUUAUUGGAGCUGAUACUUUCGUCAUGACCGCGCAAUGCAAUUUCGAAAACUCCGCAAAAUUUUACAGCGCCGAUUAGUUUGUUUAAAAUAUACCUAUUUGUAGAAACCGAUUCAUUAAAGUCAUGCACAGAUUUACGAUAUACAUUAUCAAGUUGCUGUCUUAUGUUAACACCAAAGUAUAUAGUUUUCAACUGUUAGACUGUGUUAACACGUCCUAAACUUGCGUAACUCAUUGAUGAAUUUAUAUGAGUAGUGGAAGAAGCAAGCUUUGUAAUUUUCACUUUUAAAUGCUUAAUGUCAAUUACUCCAUUUUUCGUCCAUACAGCAUCAUUCGAAAACAGUAAACACGGGUAGCAAAAAAAUGCAUUUCUCACACUGCAGCCACAAAUCCAAUCACACAAAUUGUACAUUGAUUCUUUAAAAUAUUUUUGAAUAUCUUUACCCCUAUCCUUUGUUGUUUGUUUUAAAUUCAUAUUUGGUUUUGGUCGACCACUUUCCUUUUUCUCAAGCCGUCAUAAUUAUUUAAAUUAAAAUCUGCUGGAACAUCAUAACUUAAUGUUCCAGCAUAUUUCGUGCGGGUGGCAAACAGUAACUAUCUAAAACAAAACUGAAAACAUUCAUCCAGUCGGGCCGUCGACUACGUUAGCGAUAUAGGACUGAAAGGUGACUCUCACUCCCGCUCACGAAAUGCUAAUCUGCCUUCUUUGUUCUAUUUUACAUGCAUUUCUUCAUAAGCCGUAAGAACUGUAUAGGGACAAUUUAAAAUACGGCCCAGCCAUGGGCUUGUGAUGCGCGCGAGGCGCGACGUUAAUAAUAUAUUUAUUUGUUUUGCCAAUGCAGACUGCUUAGAGAAUUUUAUAAUUCACAAUGAAGUUUUAGAUAAAAGAUAUUUAUAAUAAAAUUGGUAUUUUUAUGAGAUUAUUUAAGGGGGGUCAUUGACCAAUUGACCCUAAGAAGGAGCCGCCACUGCCAGUAGCUUGUAAGACAACAACUAACCCAAUGUCAACCUAUUAGGCAAGUACUUGUGCAAGUAGCCAGGAUAGGCAAGUGAAUAGCCAGCCCAUCUAUUUACUUGCUUACUAGCCUUCCCCUUCCACCACAUUUCGCACUAGCCAGGCAAGUAGUUUAGUAACUAGUCGAGUGUAGACGGGUCUGGACGCGCUUUGGCAAGUAAAAAAAGUGAGAUCAGUGCGGGGGAAACCGUUAAAUUUGUGGAACUUUAUCGGGAAUACGAGUGUCUCUGGAAUGUUACCAAACUCAGUUACAGAAACAAUCAAAUGAGAUCGGCAGCUUUGGAGAAAUUAGUGCGAGAUAUGGGUGUUGAUGGAAAAAGUCUGAGAAAUACUUACAGCCAACAGUUGCAAAAAAUAGAAAAAUCUAUUAAAUCGGGAUGGGAGCUGAUGAUUUAUACACCCCAACAUUAAAAUGGUUCCAUAUUAUGCACGCAUUUAUGAAAGAGACAAAAGAAAAAAGACCAACUCAAAGCAACAUGAUCUCGCAGCCAAUUAGACAAAGUGAGGAAAAUACGAAGAACGAACUCGAAUCGGAACCUGGUACUUCUAAAGAAACAUCAAAUGCAACUUCUCAAACUACUACAACAUCUGUAGUUUCUGAAGUUCGAAACCUAAAACAGCUUCUCAGAAAGCAAUAGCACGCAGUUCCUUAGCGGGAUCAAAAAGGCGAUACAAGGAUUUAUCAACCGCAGUUUCAGAGCUUCGUGACAUUAAUUAUUCCUUACUGCAAUCUGGUAAUGAAGAUGAUGAAUUUGAGGCUUUUGGAAGAUAUAUGGCCAUCGCUUUAAAGAAGCUUCCGUUACACUUGGCCCUAUAAUGUCAAAAUGAGCUGCAGACUACACUGACCCGAUAUAGGUGCAUGAGUCUUACUCCAUCACCCUUUACGUCACAAAAUCUACCAAGUCCUACUGGAUCUUCCCAUUCUUCUGGUAAAACCUAUUGGGGUUCAAACUAUUCAACCCAACCACCGUUGCAGUCGCCGCAAUCUCCUGGAUACCAACUACCGUCGACGCCGGCACCGUUUUCUGAACAGCGUUCACCUCUGUCAUCUCCUGUACAGCAACCACCUUUAUUAUCUCCAACAAUUUACGAUUUACCACCGGCACCUCUUGACCAACAACAGCAAUCAUUCUCGGCUCCUGGAUACCAACUAUUGCAAUCAACUUCAGAACAGAAUGUAUCAUUAUCGUCUACCUCAUCAACAAAUAAUAAUUUGCAAUUUGAAAAUGUAACCUUUGAAAAUAUUAAUUAUUCCGUCUCGAAUAAUUAAAAAAAAAAAGGUCCAAACGAACUUUACACUUUCGUUCUGUAUUCUUGAUUUCAUUUUACUCACGUAAUAAUGUGUUCAUUAAUUUCAUAUGUUUCUAUGUUUAAAUAUAUACAUACAUUUAUAAGAAAAAAAAUAUGUUUAACUUACCUUUAUAUACUUAUUCAGUGCAUCAUAAAUUGCGUCGCAAACUUCUGGUACAAACUUCGAUAUGGACGUCUUUGGAACUCGAAAAAAAUGUUGAAGGGUUCUAUAGCUAUUUCCAGUUGCCAAAAAAUUAAGGGUAACUUCGAAUUUAACAUGUGCUGGUAAAGCGUCUCUUAAAAGUGUAUCGUUUUUUUAAAUUCUAUAGGCAGAACCAUAUUCAGCAAGUCAUUAAAUUUACUCGGUGUCAACCGAAGGCAUAAUCUAUAUUCUUCAGGAUCUUCCAUACGAAGUUCUUUUAAAAGAAGAGCUGAUGCACCUCUUGUACCUCUUCUAUCCACCUUCGAACCCAUAUCCUUUUCGGACGACAUUCUUCUUCUUCAAUCAAACUAAUAGUUUCUUCAAUUAAAAUGCUCGAUAUUUUCAACAUUAUUCUUUUAGCGCGAUUUUUAAUUAUUAAUUUUGAAAUGCCCAAAGCAUGACGCCGGCAAUGAAAAGGAGUCAUCUCAUCUACUGCAUGUUGGGAACCGGCUAGCGAAUAAUUACUUUUAUGUGUAAACACCUACUAGCUUGUCCACUAGCGAAUGUGAACUGUCCUGGAUAUACUUGUACAAGUAACUGGUACAACUAACUAUACCAAUGUAAACUCGGCUUUACUUUCAAUAAAAUAUUUAUAAUUAAAAAUGUUAAAAUUUCCAAAAAAUUCCUUGAUGAGUCACAAUCUUAUUAACGUAAUUAUUAUUUUUUUGAUAAAGUAGGAUGGACAGGGAACUUAGAC